rnacentral:antisense_RNA from 2 species
CUUCAGGGACGCGAGCCACAGCGGCCGCUCCGUGUCGCGCUGCCGCCCGUAGGUCGCCUGCAGCGCCUGCGCCUC